rnacentral:tRNA from 1 species
GGGGCGGUAGCUCAGCCGGUUAGAGCAGCGGACUCAUAAUCCGUCGGUCGUGGGUUCGAGUUGCACCCCCCCCACCCCCA